rnacentral:pre_miRNA from 1 species
UGGGUCUCACCAGCUGUAACAGCAUCUCCAUAUGGAAUAAUUCUUGCUUCCAGUGGAGCUGCUGUUAUCUGUGGUGGG